rnacentral:lncRNA from 1 species
AGGAUAGACUACUGAGGAAUACAAAAUCCGAUCAACCUGGGAUUCAUUUAAACUCAUCAAUACAAGAAAGGGAAAAGCCUUGCCUUAUCCUGCGAGGUAUAUGCCUCACCAACAUGUCUAAAGGUACCUUAAUCAUUCCGGUCUUUUUGUCAAGUUCAUAUUUCACCUUACUGCCUUUUGAUAUCUCCACAACCUGUACAGUUGAACAAGGAAUCCAACAACCGAACAAUUAGUAGUGCAUGCAUGGAAACUUCGCCAUUUCCAUGUCCAGUCAAUAAAGGCUUACACAAUUGAAAACGGUUGGAGCUUCAGAUCCUGCACACAACAUAUAUUGCAAUAUGUAAGUUCUCCAGUUUGAUUAAUAUAAGCUUAAAAACGUGGAAUCUGAUUAUUCAGUGAUUGGAUAGGUGGUACCAAUCUCAAGAUCAUGCCAUGGAUGUGCAGCUACCGAUCUCUUUGACAUAGCCGAUAGGAUCCUCUCAUUUAGACGGGGGCGUGGAGCUUCAGUCGAUUCACUCAUCCUUUUUAUUUUAUUUUUUCCAGAAUAGAAUAAAAUGCAUCAACAUUCAAUCAAAUUCAGUCCACCAUGUUGCAUAAAACAGGGGUUUAUGCUUAUGAGUAUAUUAUAAAACUUUACAGUACCUUUGAUAUGUAUGAAGGUUGCUCCAUCAAUAAAAUACAACACAAAGAUCAGCAAAAAAAGCAACUAUUUUCUCCACAUGGUAAAACUAAAAUGUAAAAGCGUGGUUACUUUUAAUGCUUUACAUCUAUGCCAAGCUAAACCAAAGUCCAAAGCUUUGUUCAUGAUCUG